AAUAAUUCAAGUUUUUGGUUAAGUGAAAAUUACUAAGCUUGGUACAACUAUUAAAAAGGUGAAAAUUUUGGACACACAUGACAUCCUAACUGUUUUUUUAAAGACCACGAUACUUUGGUCAAAUUAGUGUAAUGUUUAGGUUAGAUUGAUAUAUAUUCUUGUUGGAUUGAGAUGUCUCUGCAACUAUACGUGUACACAUUUU
rnacentral:lncRNA from 1 species